rnacentral:rRNA from 1 species
ACUCCUACGGGAGGCAGCAGUAGGGAAUCUUCCGCAAUGGACGAAAGUCUGACGGAGCAACGCCGCGUGAGUGAUGAAGGUUUUCGGAUCGUAAAGCUCUGUUGUUAGGGAAGAACAAGUGCCGUUCAAAUAGGGCGGCACCUUGACGGUACCUAACCAGAAAGCCACGGCUAACUACGUGCCAGCAGCCGCGGUAAUACGUAGGUGGCAAGCGUUGUCCGGAAUUAUUGGGCGUAAAGGGCUCGCAGGCGGUUUCUUAAGUCUGAUGUGAAAGCCCCCGGCUCAACCGGGGAGGGUCAUUGGAAACUGGGGAACUUGAGUGCAGAAGAGGAGAGUGGAAUUCCACGUGUAGCGGUGAAAUGCGUAGAGAUGUGGAGGAACACCAGUGGCGAAGGCGACUCUCUGGUCUGUAACUGACGCUGAGGAGCGAAAGCGUGGGGAGCGAACAGGAUUAGAUACCCUGGUAGUCCACGCCGUAAACGAUGAGUGCUAAGUGUUAGGGGGUUUCCGCCCCUUAGUGCUGCAGCUAACGCAUUAAGCACUCCGCCUGGGGAGUACGGUCGCAAGACUGAAACUCAAAGGAAUUGACGGGGGCCCGCACAAGCGGUGGAGCAUGUGGUUUAAUUCGAAGCAACGCGAAGAACCUUACCAGGUCUUGACAUCCUCUGACAAUCCUAGAGAUAGGACGUCCCCUUCGGGGGCAGAGUGACAGGUGGUGCAUGGUUGUCGUCAGCUCGUGUCGUGAGAUGUUGGGUUAAGUCCCGCAACGAGCGCAACCCUUGAUCUUAGUUGCCAGCAUUCAGUUGGGCACUCUAAGGUGACUGCCGG